GAACAUAGAUCAGCAUAUGGUAGAGCGAACCAGAUGGCUACAGACAUUCAAGGGCUCUAGGGCAGCUUUAGGCCCUGUAGGAAGUGUUCAGGGUUCCUCGGCUUAGACCAUCGUGGAGUAAAGACUGAAAGUCUGGAAGCUACCUCAGCCCUGACCGAGUAGGUGCUGAGCAUGGAAAUAAAGAAGUCAGACAAUAGACAGCAGAAUUCAUAGUAAAAUAGAUACCGCUUAACUCUUAACUUCCAGAAGAACCAGGAUUGCUGUGAAGGCCAGAGCUACAGCUCUGACAAUCUUCGGGGAAAAUUUUUUCAGUGACCUUAACCAGGAUGCAUGAACUGGGGAGAUCUGGGGUGCAGAGGAGGGGAACCUAUCUUAUAGCAGCUAGUCAUGUGUUGACUCUUUCAUACGCUAGGCACUGAGGAGAUUUGCAAUUAAAAAAAUUUAAAAAGCAGCCGGAGUGGUGGAUCUUGCCUGUAAUCCCAGCACUUUGGGAGGCCUGGAUGACAGAGCGAGACUCUGUCUCAAAACACAAACAAGCAAGCAAGCAAACAAACAAAAAACUUACAAAGUGCAAAACUUUAUAAUCUAUUUCAGGCCAUAAAAGUGCCAAUAGUAAAAAAUGCAAUUGAAUACUUUCAUUUCCUAAGCAUAGGGGAUUUUUUCUAAUUUAAUUGAUUCUCACUAUCCAAUAGGAUAACCAGUAGCCACAUUUGGUAAAUUAAGUUUAAAUUAAUUUAAUUAACAUUAAAAUUGGAUUAAUUAUACUAGGCAUAUACCAAGCGCUCCGUAUUGCUCAGCACAGAUGUAGAAUAUUUCCAUCAUCACAGAAAGUUCUAUCGGGCAGAGCUGCUAUGCAGUGAUGGUCCCUUUUAGUUACAGCCUUUAUUAAUAGCCCAUCAAUAAAUGACCAGUGUUGGAAUGUGUGCAUCAAUUAUUGCAUACUGAGCACCAAUUUUAAAUAAAUGUCCCCCAAAAUAUGGGGCAAAAUGAACUCAAAUUAAAGCAAACCUUACAGCUAAACAUUCUUUCUCUUUCUCUAUCAUCCAGUCACCUUACUGAUAAACUGUCAUGGAGGAAAAGAAACAGGAACAGCAGAUGUGUUCUGUCAGUGGAUGUGAUAAACUUUCAAGAGAAAAAGAACAGAUGGAAAAUGAACUUCAUGAUGUCUUUAAGGAGUAGUACUUUUUUUUUUUUUUUUUUUUGAGAC
rnacentral:lncRNA from 1 species